UUUUUGGAAGUAAAAGUUGUAACAAGGUUUCCGUAGGUGAACCUGGGGAAGGAUCAUUAUUG
rnacentral:rRNA from 1 species